rnacentral:ncRNA from 1 species
GGCUGCGUGAUAAGGGGAAUAGUAGCAAUCGAAAAAAUACAGAGAGACAGCGGCCGGUGAAAGCUGUUUUUGAUUCGUUGUGAACUCGCCCCUGUACUUAAAAGCACGUAUCCCGGCUUAUCCACCGUUAUCGGAACCGAGUGAGCGAAAAAUUCGCUAAUGUGGGUGGUACCGCGGGAUACAGCCUCUCGUCCCAUAA